rnacentral:rRNA from 1 species
UACAGAGGGUGCGAGCGUUAAUCGGAAUUACUGGGCGUAAAGCGUGCGUAGACGGUUAUUUAAGUCGGGUGUGAAAGCCCCGGGCUCAACCUGGGAACUGCAUCUGUGACUGCAUAGCUAGAGUACGGUAGAGGGGGAUGGAAUUCCGCGUGUAGCAGUGAAAUGCGUAGAUAUGCGGAGGAACACCGAUGGCGAAGGCAAUCCCCUGGGCCUGCACUGACGCUCAUGCACGAAAGCGUGGGGAGCAAACAGG